UGAGAUUGUCUGGGAGAAAGAAAAGAAAGAAAGAGAUUCAAGUACAAGCAAAAAACCCGUUAUACACCUACACCUGGAGGUCUCCAUAAACUCCCACAUGGCUGGAGCAACCCUAAGAAGUUGAUCCACUGGGAAAGGUGUGAGAUAUG
rnacentral:lncRNA from 1 species